rnacentral:rRNA from 1 species
AUACGUAGGUGACAAGCGUUAUCCGGAUUUACUGGGCGUAAAGGGCGUGUAGGCGGUCUUGCAAGUCAGAAGUGAAAUUCCUGAGCUCAACUCGGGCGCUGCUUCUGAAACUGCAGGACUUGAGUGCUGGAGGGGAUAGCGGAAUUCCUAGUGGAGCGGUAAAAUGCGCAGAUAUUAGGAAGAACACCGGUGGCGAAGGCGGCUAUCUGGACAUAAACGGACGCUGAGGGGCGAAAGCGUGGGGAGCAAACAGAAUUAGAUACCCUGGUAGACCACGCCGUAAACGAUGAAUACUUGGUGUAGGGGGUAUCGACUCCCUCUGUGCCGCAGUCAACACAAUAAGGAUUCCGCCUGGGGAGUACGGCCGCAAGGUUGAAACUCAAAGGAAUUGACGGGG